GAUGAACGCUGGCGGCGUGCUUAACACAUGCAAGUCGAACGGUGAAGCAGAGCUUGCUCUGUGGAUCAGUGGCGAACGGGUGAGUAACACGUGAGCAACCUGCCCCUGACUCUGGGAUAAGCGCUGGAAACGGCGUCUAAUACUGGAUAUGAGCUGCGACCGCAUGGUCAGCAGUUGGAAAGAUUUUUCGGUCUGGGAUGGGCUCACGGCCUAUCAGCUUGUUGGUGAGGUAAUGGCUCACCAAGGCGUCGACGGGUAGCCGGCCUGAGAGGGUGACCGGCCACACUGGGACUGAGACACGGCCCAGACGCCUACGGGAGGCAGCAGGGGGGAAUAUUGCACAAUGGGCGAAAGCCUGAUGCAGCAACGCCGCGUGAGGGAUGACGGCCUUCGGGUUGUAAACCUCUUUUAGCAGGGAAGAAGCGAAAGUGACGGUACCUGCAGAAAAAGCGCCGGCUAACUACGUGC
rnacentral:rRNA from 1 species